ensembl:snRNA U5 U5 spliceosomal RNA
UUACAUCGAAUUCUCUUCAGAUUGAAUGAAUCUUUCGCCUUUUACUAAAGACUUCCAUGGAGAGGAACAACUCUGAGUCUCAUAGCAAUUUUUUGAGGCCUUGCCCUGGCAAGGCU